rnacentral:rRNA from 1 species
UGAACGCUGGCGGCGUGCCUAAUACAUGCAAGUCGAGCGAACAGAUGAGGAGCUUGCUCCUCUGACGUUAGCGGCGACGGGUUAGUAACACGUGGAUAACCUACCUAUAAGACUGGGAUAACUUCGGGAAACCGGAGCUAAUACCGGAUAAUAUAUUGAACCGCAUGGUUCAAUAGUGAAAGACGGUUUUGCUGUCACUUAUAGAUGGAUCCGCGCCGCAUUAGCUAGUUGGUAAGGUAACGGCUUACCAAGGCAACGAUGCGUAGCCGACCUGAGAGGGUGAUCGGCCACACUGGAACUGAGACACGGUCCAGACUCCUACGGGAGGCAGCAGUAGGGAAUCUUCCGCAAUGGGCGAAAGCCUGACGGAGCAACGCCGCGUGAGUGAUGAAGGUCUUCGGAUCGUAAAACUCUGUUAUUAGGGAAGAACAAAUGUGUAAGUAACUAUGCACGUCUUGACGGUACCUAAUCAGAAAGCCACGGCUAACUACGUG